rnacentral:lncRNA from 1 species
GUCUGCCAAUAUGAAUAUGGACCACAAAUAUAAGGAACAUAUGAUCUGUUACUCCUGAGCUAUUGUUCCUGUGGUGAAGAGUGUUCCAAUCCUUAGAGCAUCAUUGUUUAGUGAAUGUAACUGUUCUAACCAAUUUAAUUGAAGGGUAAGAUAUAUACUUUCAAAAGUGAGAAGAUUGACUUAACCCAAAGUCUACCCUCAUGUUCACUGGUGAUGAACAAGAUGUUCUUUUCCUGAAAUGGGAACCAAAUAUGAUGUCUCCCAUGACCGAUUUAAUUUGAACUAGAAAUAUAAUUGUCAAGUGCAAUGAGACAGAGAAAGGAAUGGAGGCAUAUGUAUUUGGAAGGAAGAAGUAAAACUAUCUUGGACUGCAUUGAGCAUGAUAGCCUAUACAGAAAGUCCACAAAUCAACUCAAAGUUCCUGGAAAACUGAGCAGGAGCAUCAAGGUCACACACAGUUAAUAAAUCCAGAGAGCAAAAAUGAGCUAUUGGCUUUUAUACUUAGGCUACACAGUUGCAUUUCACAAUUUAAAAUACCACUUACAAUUGCAACAAGAACAAAAAGUCUUAUCUAUAAAUGUAACAAAUUUUGUACAAAAUCCAUAUGCAGAACAUUUUGGCUCUAGUGAAAGAAAUAAA